rnacentral:tRNA from 1 species
CGGGGUAUAGCGCAGCCCGGUAGCGCACACGUCUGGGGGGCGUGUGGUCGUCAGUUCAAAUCUGGCUACCCCGACCA